GUGUUUGUGUGCAUGUUAAGGUGAAAUAUAGAGUCAGCGAGUGAGAGAACAGACUGGGAAAGUACCUUUUGGUCAAUAUACUUGUUGUCUUCGAUGGC